rnacentral:rRNA from 1 species
CCUACGGGCGGCAGCAGUGGGGAAUUUUGGACAAUGGGGGCAACCCUGAUCCAGCCAUUCCGCGUGAGUGAAGAAGGCCUUCGGGUUGUAAAGCUCUUUCGGCCGGGAAGAAAUCGCAUCUCCUAAUACGGGGUGUGGAUGACGGUACCGGAAGAAGAAGCACCGGCUAACUACGUGCCAGCAGCCGCGGUAAUACGUCGGGUGUGAGCGGUAAUCGGAAUGAGUGGGCGGAAAGCGUGGACAGAUGGCUAAGCCCCGGGCUUAACCUGGGAACUGCGUUUGUGACUGGUGGGCUUGAGUGCGGCAGAGGGGGGUGGAAUUCCACGUGUAGCAGUGAAAUGCGUAGAGAUGUGGAGGAACACCGAUGGCGAAGGCAGCCCCCUGGGUCGACACUGACGCUCAUGCACGAAAGCGUGGGGAGCAAACAGGAUUAGAUACCCCAGUAGUC